AUUGAACGCUGGCGGCAUGCUUUACACAUGCAAGUCGAACGGUAACAGGCCGCAAGGUGCUGACGAGUGGCGAACGGGUGAGUAAUGCAUCGGAACGUGCCCAGUCGUGGGGGAUAACGCAGCGAAAGCUGCGCUAAUACCGCAUACGAUCUAUGGAUGAAAGCGGGGGACCGUAAGGCCUCGCGCGAUUGGAGCGGCCGAUGUCAGAUUAGGUAGUUGGUGGGGUAAAGGCUCACCAAGCCGACGAUCUGUAGCUGGUCUGAGAGGACGACCAGCCACACUGGGACUGAGACACGGCCCAGACUCCUACGGGAGGCUGCAGUGGGGAAUUUUGGACAAUGGGCGCAAGCCUGAUCCAGCAAUGCCGCGUGCAGGAAGAAGGCCUUCGGGUUGUAAACUGCUUUUGUACGGAACGAAAAGGCUCUGGUCAAUACCUGGGGCUCAUGACGGUACCGUAAGAAUAAGCACCGGCUAACUACGUGCCAGCCGCCGCGGUAAGAC
rnacentral:rRNA from 1 species